rnacentral:lncRNA from 1 species
AAUGGAAAAUUUGUUUAGAUAUUUUACAUUUCCUGAAGAUGUCUUCUUAUUUGAACCCUAGAGGUUUAUGGUCUUUCUCUCAGGAUUCCCAGAGGUACCGGGAUUCUUAAGGAGGAGUUGGGUAGGAAACAGGUAUCUACACGUUCUAGAAGACUUGUUCAUUGGAUAAUCGUCAAUGACUAUAAUUAGGCCUGUCUACAAAGAAGAGGAUUCCACACAAGGAAAAGUGCUCUAAGAUACCAAAAUGACUCAACAGCUUAACCUGACCUGGGUAUACUGAUAUGUGUGUGGAGAGAAUGACCCAUACAGGUUUUAGAGGAUGUACUUUCCUUUUGCUGAGAAAAAAUACAGAGCAAAUUUCCCUCCAAGCUUUUUCUAUCUCCUCUAAAGCUACACCAAAACCAGAAGCCUGACCUUUGGAUUCUUCCAUGACCCCAGCAUUCUCAGCAGGUCAACUGAAAACCACAAGAAGAAACAAAGACACCUACAGAAUAAAUUCUGCCUAUUCUGUAAGUUCUCUAUCAAAUACAUUUAUUAUUUACAAAUCCAGGUUUCUAUACAUAUGGAGUCUAUAAAUGUAUUGUGUGUUUGUGCUAUUGG